UGCUUACAAAAAAUUUGGUAUGCUUUCAUAUAUUAUUUCAACCUUAGGCAUUGCUUGACAGUGUAUCAGUUAAGGUAGCACUACAGUCAGAAUUUUCUGACUCCAAUCAACAGUCUUUAAAGAUUAAUUUCUCCAAAACUACUCAAUGGAUUUUUAAAAUCUUUAACUCAUUUUAAAGCUGAAAUAUAACUCUUUCUUAAUUUAUAUAUAAGUUAAUUUUUGGUUUGAUUAAUCUCAAAAUAUAGCUCACUAAAUGCCAAAAAAGUGGUCUUCCAACUUGGAUGAAAAUGGCACAUUCAUGUCAAAUGGUAGUAAAAAUUUGUUUUCAUCCCUGUAAUCAACUGUAUACAAUUUCCAAAACCGUGUCUCAGAUUUUUGAUAUAUGCCUCCAGUAAGAAGAUAUACUGAUUUAACUGCUGGGUGCCAAUUCUCAUUUCACCUUUCAUCUUUGGAGACCUAUAAAUUUAUUUAGAAACAAAUUAUCCAAAAACUGGACGAGUAGAAAUACACCUUUAAUCAUAUAUAUCAAGUCAAGCCAAAGGGGGUACCCAUAAAGUUUCUAUUUUCAUUUGUUCCUUACAAUUUUCAUGAAAAAUUGUUCUGAGAAAUGACCUAAAAACGGAAUUUCCCCCUUAGAACCCCUAUAAAGUCAAUAUAAAUACAAACUUCCACUGGGAACACCCCAGGAGUGUUCUGAUACCAUUACUAUAUCAAUAGAACCACACACUUCGUGUCUUUGAUGCUCUAAUGCUGUAAAUUUGGCAUUAUAUGUGAACUGUCCAACACUAACUUGGUAUUUGGCGGGAGUUUGACGUCACAGAUAUGACAACAUCUGUGAUGAAGUAAUUAAAUAUAGACAAAGCUCCGACUCUUUACAGACAGUCUCAGAUAAGAGAAAAACAUGAUUGACCAGCUGCAUUUAAUUAAUAUUUAACAUCAUUAUUCUCUAUAUAUAAAGAAUAAUUUUCAUUUGAAUUUUAAAAAAGAAAUAAACUAUGUCUUAAAUUAGCUAGAACAUUAAAAGUGUGCAUCAAAAAACAUGUUCAUAAAAAGAUCAAGACCACCCUUUUCUUGAAAAUACAUUUAAUUUAAUAAUGACUGAAAAAAUACACAUGAACUGAAAAUUAGUUGAAAUUCAUAAAACUGUAUUUAAAUGAAGAAGACCAAAGAGAAGAAAUUUAUACAGGCAGUCAGAGGCUUUCAAAAAUACUUCCCCUUGAGAUCUCUUUUCCAUAGUACUUUUUUUCCUUUUUGGUAGAUUUUUUCCCUUUUAAGUUUUUUUUUUCUUUUUCUUUGUUCACGUCCAUGUUAUAUAAAGAAUAUUUGUUGCAAAACAAUGAGAUAAGACUACAAUAUUUAUCUUGUGGUCAGGGAUUAACAGCUGGACACUGGUAUCAACAGAUGAAUUACAUAUUAGCCCCUCCCAAAUGCCUAUAUAUUUAGAUUAAUUACCAUGUGCAUUUAUUUACAUAAAUUCAUUAUCAAUUUACUCCAUGUUGUGAUAUGAUAAUGACUUUGGGAUUUUUGCAAACUGUGCAGAAUAAUACUUACUUCAAAAUUAUGUGAUAAAAAAAAUAUGAUCAAAAAAUCAUUGUUAGACUGUAGUGCUACCUUAAAUGUGUGCUUGAGAGAGUUGGAAGCUUGAUUCAUGAUUGGGGAUAUUAAAGGUUUUUAAUUGAUUGUUGGUUGCUAAACACCUAGUGGAAAACAUUUUGUGCAUGUUCAGGACAAUAUGAAAGGGCCAAUGCAUAGGUAAAAGAACAAUCAAUAUCACAUAAUGGAAUGUCAUAGAAACACGUGAGUUAUCUCCCCACUUCUAGUUAAGGAAACCAUAAAGGGAGAUAACUCAUUAAUCAAAUUCAAUGUCGACUGCUCAUCAAAAUUCAAUUAUCUUCCAUACUUUAAUUUUCUUUUUCUUUCUUUCUGC
rnacentral:lncRNA from 1 species